rnacentral:rRNA from 1 species
UACAGAGACUGCAAGCGUUAUUCGGAUUCACUGGGCGUAAAGAGUGCGCAGGCGGCCAAGUGUGUGAAGUGUGAAAGCCCGGGGCUUAACCCCGGAAUUGCACCUCAAACUACAUGGCUAGAGCAUUGGAGAGGGUAGCAGAAUUCACGGUGUAGCAGUGAAAUGCGUAGAUAUCGUGAGGAAUACCAGAGGCGAAGGCGGCUACCUGGACAAUUGCUGACGCUCAGGCACGAAAGCGUGGGGAGCAAAAGGG